rnacentral:lncRNA from 1 species
CCCAUCUCUCUCUCUCACACACACACACACACACACACACGAACACACACACGAGGCAGGGGGUGUCAAGAGCAAGAGAGCUACAUAGUCCCUCUCAGGACAUUACAGCCCCCACUUCCAAGCCUGUUCUGGACUGUGUGCUUUGCCAGGGUGCCUCAUUUCAUCCUUCCUAGGGCCCCAACAGGACAGGUUGCCCCCCACCCCUUUAAAGAGGCAGAAAGUGAGCCUGAGAGAGGCUUGUCCAAGAUCACAGGGCAUGCUCAGACGAAAGUUAGUGGUGGGCACCUGGCUCUGCGAGAUUUCCUUCUUAAUUAGCCCUGCUCCUUGGGGGCAGCUCCGUUGAGUAGAGGCACUCCUCCAAGACACCGCCCCCCUCCUUAUUGGCAGCCCUUCUCCCCUGCCUCCUCCCUCAAUCUCAAGGAAGGAAACCUAGGCACCCUCUCUACCCUAAAGCUGCUCCAUCCGCACCAACUCAGGUCAGGCGAGGAGUGGAGGGUCUGCUCCCUCGCUGGGCACACCUAUAGGCCCACCAGGGUCUGAGGCACUGGCUAAGGCUUAAUGGCUGUCUAAGCAAGACCCUCCACGGGCUCUGCCUGCAACCCCUCACAACCCAGGAUCUCAGUGGGGCCGAGAAGACAGACCCUACUUGGCCCUGGGACAGGACAGGAGGGGCAGGGACCAGCUCUCUCCGUCUUCCUCCACCCUACCCCAAGUCCCACACAGGAGCUCUGGGCCUGGGCUGGAAAUGGAAACUUUCCCACUAGACUGAGAGAGGCCCAACCUGGGGGGCAGACUGGAAGAAGGUGGGAGGCCUGGAAACUACUAAAAGCUUGCGGGUCACAUAGAUUUAGGUUCCCGGGCAGCUCUACCACCUGCUGGCUGUGUGACCUUGGGCAAGGGGCUUUACCUCUUUGAGGCUCAGUGUCCUUAUCUGCAAAGCGAAAGAAAAAUAGCGCCCUCCUAAGGGGGUGAUUGUGAAGGUCAAAGGCAGGGGCGAUGUGCACAGUCUGCGGGGCCUCGAAGUCAGCCAUUAUGCCCCCCAAAGUGAGCAGCGGGUGAGCAGCCACCACUGUGACCUCACCCUGCCCCCGACUCCCAGUUCUGAAAAUUCUUCAUUAGCACCAAAUCCAAACUUUUCCUCAGCAGUGGCAGGACCCAGGCGCGGGUCCUCCUUCCUCCUCCCGCCCCCUCGCGGUCAGACAACAGACCCCCCAUCUGCAAACUAGGGAUCAUCAUAAUGCCCUAACAGGGCUGAGUAGAGUUGACCCAGCUGCUUGUGUUCCAAAAGAGAGUUCAGCAGUGGAAUCCCAGGCAUCUUCAUACCGUCAGUGAAGCCAUCCGAACUUUGGCAUGCAGAAGUUCCACUUUCGUAACGAAGGGAAUUAUCUCAGGUCCCCAAUAAUCCUUCAAGGUCUACCUGGAGAAAAUGUUGAGCAUUAGAAAGAGCAAAAGCUUCGGAGUCGCCCAGCUGCAGAUCCAAAUCCCAGCUCCCAGCUCCACUGUUCCAUUCAUUCGCUCGCUGGGUAUUUGUUGAACAUCUGCUACAUAGGAGGCACUGUACUUUGUGUUGAGUACAUCAUUGAUUUGGAUGAAAAUCCUUGCUGUCACAGAGCUCACAUCCUAAUGGAACAUUUUAUUUGCUACUUGACCUCAGAAGACUUUAUGCCGAGGAGUCCUGGAAUAUCUCCUUUUCUCCAUCUUGGGACAUCUGUGGGGCGGUUUUUCCCCCUCUAGAUGGGGGCAUCAAAAACUGCCUUGCUUUCCUGACCUUAACCCAUCUCAGUGCCCAUGGGGUUGCGCUAAACAUCUCCAGAGAAAUGUCUUUAAAUAAACAGAUUUCAUACUUGAGAGGAGACCAGAAAUGUCUAAAACCAUCUCUGUUUACUCUCUCACAUUUGUGAGGUUUGUUUGUUUGUUUGUUUAUUUGUUUGUUUUAAAGCCAAUCAUGGUCUUUUCUUCAAAAACCAUGAAAGAAGAAAGGAUGCUAACAGCUCCAUUUCACAGAUGGCAAAACUGAGGCUGAACAUGGGAAAGUGACUUGUUGGAGGCUCUGUGGUUAAGAAAGAUGUGUAUCUCUCUCUCUCUUUUUUUUUCUCA